GCCUUGUUAGCUUGGUUGGUAGCGCGUCUGCCUUGUAAGCGGUAGGCCGCGGGUCCGAUUCCCGCUCGUUGCG
rfam:Asian citrus Psyllid, Diaphorina citri - Florida Strain, whole genome shotgun sequence.